rnacentral:piRNA from 1 species
UGAGCGCACUAGUUCCGAAGCAGGCAAGG